rnacentral:pre_miRNA from 2 species
UAAAUACUCCCUCCGUCUCAAAAUUCUUGUCUUAGAUUUAUCUAGAUAUGAAUGUAUCUAGUCACGUUUUAGUAUUUUGAUACAUUCAUUUCUAGACAAACAUAAGAUAAGAAUUUUGGGACGGAGGGAGUAGUAA